AAGAUAGAGGUUGCGGCGUUCAAUAGUAGCGCGGUGAGGGCUCCGGUGGCCCUGUGACCCGCCGCGAAAGGGACCGCCGCCGAAGGGUCCUCCCUCCCGGAGGGGACUCCCUGGGCGCUGGGUCAACAGCCCUGCGACUGUCACCCAUUCGGGUGGAGUGCUGUCUG
rnacentral:ncRNA from 1 species